rnacentral:ncRNA from 23 species
CACGAUCCCUCAGAAGAGGACUAUCGUCGAGCUGUUGACGAGGGAACCCGGUGCAAGGCCGGGACUGACACGCAGCGGUAUGGCUGACAGGCGGACAAGACCACUGGCUUCGGCUGGGAAGGGUCCGGCCCUGGACGAAGCCGAGUCCGAAUACCUGUCAACGCUAUUACUGUCAAC